GGCCGAGUGACAGAGUGGUUAUGUAGAGGACUGCAAAUCCUUGUACGUCGGUUCGAUUCCGGUCUCGGCCUCCA
rnacentral:tRNA from 1 species